AACUCGCCUACACGAAGCUGGAAUCGCUAGUAAUCGCGGAUCAGCACGCCGCGGUGAAUACGUUCCCGGGCCUUGUACACACCGCCCGUCAAGCCAUGGAAGCCGGGGGUGCCUGAAGUGCGCUGCCGCAAGGAGCGCCCUAGGGUAAAACCGGUGACUGGGGCUAAGUCGUAACAAGGUAAC
rnacentral:rRNA from 1 species